rnacentral:lncRNA from 1 species
CCCGACUCAACUUACGCCGUACCUAUAUAAAUUGUUCCUCAUGCUGCUCAAGUUUGUGGAGCUUGCUCGCCGGGAGAUCACUUUGAGGAACAUGCUUAAUAACUUUGCUCCUCAACUCAUUCGUAGCAUAAUGAUUCAUAUGUGCUACCGAGGGAUGAAGAGUCUGGUCGUGCAGAUAGGAUGAUAGAGCCAAUUAUCGUUUCUACAAGAAUUACUUCUACGUGCGGACCGAGCACGUUGUGGUAGAUCCUUUAGGGUUCUCUGAGAAAUGAAACUUUGCGCGUAAGUUUUUAUACUUUUGGUCAGAAUAAUGCUCGACCACUUCCAUUUGGUCAAUAUUUGAAAUUUGUUCUUUUGUUUUCACAGUCGCGAAACUACCCCUACACCCGUUGACGGUAUCCGUGAGUGGGUGAAUGUCAUCCUUUAUCAUACAACGGGGAUUUACACAUGGUCAUCCUUUUACGAGAAAUAUGGACGCAAGCCCUCAUUGGUGAGUAAUAUCAUUUUUGUUUGUUAUUCUUCCCCCUCCCCUUUUUUACUUUGUUUCUUAUGUGAUGUUCGUCGAUGUCAGGAGAGUGUGGAGGGCGAGGGCUCCUCCACUAGCUUUUUGUUAACCUACAUUGUCCGCUCAUCCUGCCUCAGUGUCUACUACCCGACCUUCGUCGAGGGCCGCUUUAGUUGAAUCUAUGGUUGUGGUCGUACGCACGGAGGCUACCCCUCGAACUGAGAUUCCGACCCCGGUUACCUACCCAGCAGAGGAAUCUUCCCGUACCGAAGAAGGAGAGGGGCCAUCAAAGAGGAGGUGAGUGAAGUCUGAAACGGCUCAUUCGGCCGUGAUACAUAUAGAGGAAGACCUUCCCUUGACGGUGUUUGAGGUGGGAGUUGAUGCCUUCCGCCUGUAGAGACAGAGCCAGCCAUUGCGUCUGCCUCACUGACGGAGAUCCCUGCCGCUAUGAUUGAUCAACAACCUGCCACGACGGGGGGUUAGACUCCUGAGGCCACUGUUACUGUUUUGGAUGGGCCUUCGUCCUUGGUGCCUGGUCGUGCUUCCUCCUCGGCCGCAGAAAGAGGAAAAGGUAUCGUGGUCGACGACUACGAAUCUGAGUCUGAUCUUGAUCCUGAUGAUGUUAGGAUGUUUGAAGAGGGUCUUACCCGUUUGGUGGUUCAUGUGGGAGGCCCGACCCGUAUUCUUUAGAUCUCAUCGGACAUCAAACUUCUAGGAGAUACGGAGGACCUGGUGCCGCAGUUUGACCUCUUGUGUUCUGCUGCUGAGAGCGAGGCUCUUCGGAACCUUCCUGAUAUUGACUCGAUGCAUGAAGUGGCCGCUAUGGGCUUGAGGGUACGUUUCGCCUUUCUUUCAUGUUCUUUUUAUUUUUCUGGACGAU